UACAGUGCAACCAGCGCCAUAAAAUUACAAUAUCAGUGGUAUUCUUGGUCUUGAUGAUGGUAAUGUGUGCAAUGUUCGAGGGAUCUGAAUCCUUCGGUUUUACAAUCGUUGCGGAUGUCGUAGACGAACCACAACACCAACAACAAUAACAACGACAUCAUCAUCUACAACGUAACCAUCAGAGUUUAUCAAGGCCACUACAUAGCGGCGUAAUAACCAGAAAUAAAUUGAAUCUUAUGCCUAUCUAGUGAAAUAGACUAGUGAAAUAGUUCUAAUGAAAUAGAAAAGUUGUACAGAACUGUCUAAUUUUUUAGUUCAUUGUUAAUCGGUAAUGUAAUGCUGCUCACUUCUUCUACCAAAAAAUUAGCUAAGGCUAGGAAUAAAAAAUUAAUUAGUAAGUAGUCUAUCCUGGACCACAUAGCGACUAAAUAGCAAAUAAAAAUAAAAUAAAAUAUUUAUCUUC